rnacentral:rRNA from 1 species
UGGCGAUUUAUUUGGGCCUAAAGCGUCCGUAGCUGGCCCUGCAAGUCCGUCGGGAAAUCCACUCGCCUAACGAGUGGGCGUCCGGCGGAAACUACAGGGCUUGGGACCGGAAGACUUGAGGGGUACGUCUGGGGUAGGAGUGAAAUCCUGUAAUCCUGGACGGACCGCCGAUAGCGAAAGCACCUCAAGACGACGGAUCCGACAGUGAGGGACGAAAGCUAGGGUCUCGAAC